UACGUAGGGUGCAAGCGUUGUCCGGAAUUACUGGGCGUAAAGGGCGCGUAGGCGGUUCGCUAAGUUGGAUGUGAAAACUCUGGGCUCAACCCAGAGCCUGCAUCCAAAACUGGCGGGCUAGAGUUCUGGAGGGGGUAGCGGAAUUCCUGGUGUAGCGGUGAAAUGCGUAGAUAUCAGGAGGAACACCGGUGGCGAAGGCGGCUACCUGGACAGAAACUGACGCUGAGGCGCGAAAGCUAGGGGAGCAAACAGG
rnacentral:rRNA from 1 species